rnacentral:rRNA from 1 species
UGAGGAAUAUUGGUCAAUGGGCGAGAGCCUGAACCAGCCAAGUCGCGUGAAGGAAGACAGUCCUAAGGAUUGUAAACUUCUUUUAUACGGGAAUAACGGGCGAUACGAGUAUUGCAUUGAAUGUACCGUAAGAAUAAGCAUCGGCUAACUCCGUGCCAGCAGCCGCGGUAAUACGGAGGAUGCGAGCGUUAUCCGGAUUUAUUGGGUUUAAAGGGUGCGUAGGUUGUUCGGUAAGUCAGCGGUGACACCUGAGCGCUCAACGUUCAGCCUGCCGUUGAAACUGCCGGGCUUGAGUUCAGUGGCGGCAGGCGGAAUUCGUGGUGUAGCGGUGAAAUGCAUAGAUAUCACGAGGAACUCCGAUUGCGAAGGCAGCUUGCCAUACUGCGACUGACACUGAAGCACGAAGGCGUGGGUAUCAAACAGG